AUUGAACGCUGGCGGCAGGCUUAACACAUGCAAGUCGAGCGGGGGAAGGUAGCUUGCUACCGGACCUAGCGGCGGACGGGUGAGUAAUGCUUAGGGAUCUGCCUAUUAGUGGGGGACGACAUCUCGAAAGGGAUGCUAAUACCGCAUACGUCCUACGGGAGAAAGCAGGGGAUCUUCGGACCUUGCGCUAAUAGAUGAGCCUAAGUCGGAUUAGAUAGUUGGUGGGGUAAAGGCCUACCAAGGCGACGAUCUGUAGCGGGUCUGAGAGGAUGAUCCGCCACACUGGGACUGAGACACGGCCCAGACUCCUACGGGAGGCAGCAGUGGGGAAUAUUGGACAAUGGGGGGAACCCUGAUCCAGCCAUGCCGCGUGUGUGAAGAAGGCCUUAUGGUUGUAAAGCACUUUAAGCGAGGAGGAGGCUACUUUAGUUAAUACCUGGAGAUAGUGGACGUUACUCGCAGAAUAAGCACCGGCUAACUCUGUGCCAGCCGCCGCCGUAA
rnacentral:rRNA from 1 species